AGCUGUCCGCUAGAUCUAGUGGAUGGGGAUGUUUUCCUCCUGUUGAGAAGGACUUGCUCUUUUUCCUUGUGGCAGAUGUGAGACUGCUGAAAACAUAAUGCACUAUUUUUUCAUCAUUCUGGUUUCAAAUUGUUCGGGCUGAAGAAAAGAGAGCCUGAACAAUGCAAGGGCUGGAGGAAGAGUUGCGAUGAACAGUCCCAUCUGAGUACUUUUCAGCUCUGGGAAAUAUACAGAAUACCAGUGCUGCAAUAGCUGCUAAUGCCUGCUUCUGCAUGAGGCAGUUCUUGAACCCCAGAUAACCCUCUCUAAGUGCCAGAACUGGCUGUGCUGUUUGCCUGGUGUUUCAGUCUUGCAUAGCGCUUCAAAAACUGAUACAGUGCAGCUCUCCCAGAAACAUUGCUGUAAGGUUGAUAAAGGAAGCACUGCACAUCUUCUACUGAGCCACCAAGGAUGUGUGUGGAGCCCAAUGAAGACUUCCACUGUGAGAUGUUAAUGAUUUAUUCAUGAUCCUAUGCGCACUUUCAAAUCAGGCAGCAAUUUCUAGCAGAUCUGAUGGCACAGCUGCUUCUUGUGUUCAUCUCCAAGGGAGGAAUCUCUGCUGCUCUUAUGCUAUGCGGACCAGGGAUGUCAAGGACAAGAAUUUCUUCUUCACGUACGUCUGUAGCAAAAGGAAGACUAAGGAAAAUGAGUGCUUGCUGCUGAAUUGAAUGGGUGCCUUGGUGAAGAUAAGGACUGAUUGCCUACUGCUAAGGCCAGCCCUCAGGAAUCCCAGAGCCUAAAGACCAGGUCAUGAAGAACAGAAAAGGUGUCUGAGGAUUAGAGGAAAGCCAGUUUCCUUCCAGAACUGCCACUCCAGUUCAAAAACGGCAAGAGGGCCGACCUAAGGAACUGCAGACCAGUCAGCUUUACCUCUGCCCUUGGAAAGGUUUGAUCCUGACAAGAGCAGAAAUUGUGCUCCUAGAGAAGAAAACCAGAAGGCUUGGCAAACUUCACUCCCCGAGACUCUGUUUUUGCUCUCAUUCCCAGGUGGGGAAGUCACAAGUUUGUGCUGAAGUGUUUUUCAGUAGCUUUCACCCCAGCCCAGAAAUGAAACCUCUGCUUAUUCCCCGGCGAGGAACCAGCAACACCCAGUGGCCUGGGCAUUUUAGGAGCAUGACAUCCAGAUCUGGAAGUAAACAUCACAGUCUUGGCUCUUCUCAAACUCAAGAACUGUUUACUUGAAUCUAAAUUCUAAUACCUGUCACAGGAGAGAGCCAUUAUUCAGGAAGAUGUCAAAUGAUGCACUUAAGAUAAUUGAGCAACUAACUGGCUGCUGGGGGGUGAUGAGGAUCCUUCUGAAACAUCACUCUGCUGUUUGCAAGGCACUUCAGAUAAACCAACUAAUUAACACCUCCAUCACCAACAUAGCAGACCAAUCUCCUUGCUGUCUCCUUGAAAUCAGCUGGAAUCCAUUGGACAGCCCCCAGCGUGUUCCCAGAUGAGCUGGAGCAAACUCCAGAGAUCACCUGUAACCAGAUCCAAUGCAAAGUCACACAGUCAGACUGGACAGCCUAGGGAAGGGUUCAUCUGCAGAGUUGAGUGGUCCAGACCUGGCCUAUGGUAAUUUGUCAACAUACAGACAGUGCUAUCUUCAACAUCUCUGCUCACAGAAUUGAAUUCUAUGCGCAUGGCAGCUUGUGCUACAUGCUUCCGUGGUAAAUAAAUGCAAGUUGUUUCUGCAACUUCUGAAUUAAAUCAGCCUCCCAGCCUGUGCUGCACUGCUGCGAAACCUUCGUCUGUGUGACCGCAUGGCAUGGCACAUCUUUUGGAACGUGUUGGCUCUAUGAAAGCUGGAUUCCUUUUCUCAAUGGAAAAUUUUAAGCUGUUCCCACCAGUGACAUCACGGUGCUCUCCACUCCUACAGCCACAAAGGCGUAUAUUGAUAGCCAUGACAUUUUCCUUUAAUGCCGUCAUUGUUUCCAGCAUUUCAUUUGGGCUGUUGCUUGAAGCCAAAAAAACAAGACAAAAGGCAAAGUAUGUUAAAAGGAGACCUAGGCUGCGUGCAAAUAUGUCGCACGAGAGAAUCUCUGACUCCAGGCAAUUUUCAAGGAAUUUGCUUUCCACGGGGGAUUCUCCUGAGUGAGUUAGGAUGACGCCGUCAUCUCAGGCUCCCGAAACUGCCACCUCCCUUCUGUAACUUGCUUCAGGCAGAUGCUUCGGUAUUGCUGAGCUGUGCAGGGAUCUGGCAUUGGCUUUUAGAUCUUAUUUUAAAAGAUUUGUGUCAACUGCAUAAAAGAGCACACUGAUGGGAGCUCCUGAACCCCUGCCGUGCUUGCUUUCUGAAUUUCUCAGGAGUGGAACACUGGAUCCUCAAGGGACAUUUGUGCGUUUCAUGCAGGGCAGAGAGGAGAAGGGCAGCAAAAAGUGUUGCCCUUUGUACCUUGUUCCUUUCUAAAGUGAUAGCAGAGCUCAAAGCACUUCUUACAAUAUUGAUCCAAAGUUCCAUACUGUUGGUCUUCCCAAAAAAUUUGGCAUAGGUCAGGGUUGGGCACUGAGUUUCCCAACCAUGUUAGUUAUCAGAAAGGAGAGAGUUGAAGAAUUGAACUGGUGGAGGUGAGCUUUUCGGCUGUGUGUCUGGAUAUCUGCAAAACAUUUAGUGCUUGGAAACUGCAGCUUCUUCCACACUGAGGUAAAUCUUUGACAUUCAGGGAUCAGCUUUUCUACAAAUGAAUUGUCUCUAGUUUUCUGACCAUCUUACUUUCCACUCUGCUUGCCUCUACAGAUUAUUCUUUUUUAAAUAUUAUUAUUCCUGAGCAUUACCCACAACACUUCCAAUGAACUCUGUCCAGGUUACUCUUACAUUUAUCAACACUCCAUUUGUCAACACUCUUAUAUUUGUUUGUUUCACAAGAAUUACCCUGGGCUCUUCCGAGGAACUGUUGUUCGGAAUGA